rnacentral:tRNA from 1 species
GCCCGGCUGGCUCAGUCCGUGGAGCGGGCGAUUCUUGAUCUUGGGGUUGUGAGUUCAAGUCCCACGUUGGGUG